rnacentral:rRNA from 1 species
UUAAAUUGAAGAGUUUGAUCAUGGCUCAGAUUGAACGCUGGCGGCAGGCCUAACACAUGCAAGUCGAACGGUAACAGGAAGCAGCUUGCUGCUUUGCUGACGAGUGGCGGACGGGUGAGUAAUGUCUGGGAAACUGCCUGAUGGAGGGGGAUAACUACUGGAAACGGUAGCUAAUACCGCAUAACGUCGCAAGACCAAAGAGGGGGACCUUCGGGCCUCUUGCCAUCGGAUGUGCCCAGAUGGGAUUAGCUAGUAGGUGGGGUAAAGGCUUACCUAGGCGACGAUCCCUAGCUGGUCUGAGAGGAUGACCAGCCACACUGGAACUGAGACACGGUCCAGACUCCUACGGGAGGCAGCAGUGGGGAAUAUUGCACAAUGGGCGCAAGCCUGAUGCAGCCAUGCCGCGUGUAUGAAGAAGGCCUUCGGGUUGUAAAGUACUUUCAGCGGGGAGGAAGGGAGUAAAGUUAAUACCUUUGCUCAUUGACGUUACCCGCAGAAGAAGCACCGGCUAACUCCGUGCCAGCAGCCGCGGUAAUACGGAGGGUGCAAGCGUUAAUCGGAAUUACUGGGCGUAAAGCGCACGCAGGCGGUUUGUUAAGUCAGAUGUGAAAUCCCCGGGCUCAACCUGGGAACUGCAUCUGAUACUGGCAAGCUUGAGUCUCGUAGAGGGGGGUAGAAUUCCAGGUGUAGCGGUGAAAUGCGUAGAGAUCUGGAGGAAUACCGGUGGCGAAGGCGGCCCCCUGGACGAAGACUGACGCUCAGGUGCGAAAGCGUGGGGAGCAAACAGGAUUAGAUACCCUGGUAGUCCACGCCGUAAACGAUGUCGACUUGGAGGUUGUGCCCUUGAGGCGUGGCUUCCGGAGCUAACGCGUUAAGUCGACCGCCUGGGGAGUACGGCCGCAAGGUUAAAACUCAAAUGAAUUGACGGGGGCCCGCACAAGCGGUGGAGCAUGUGGUUUAAUUCGAUGCAACGCGAAGAACCUUACCUGGUCUUGACAUCCACGGAAGUUUUCAGAGAUGAGAAUGUGCCUUCGGGAACCGUGAGACAGGUGCUGCAUGGCUGUCGUCAGCUCGUGUUGUGAAAUGUUGGGUUAAGUCCCGCAACGAGCGCAACCCUUAUCCUUUGUUGCCAGCGGUCCGGCCGGGAACUCAAAGGAGACUGCCAGUGAUAAACUGGAGGAAGGUGGGGAUGACGUCAAGUCAUCAUGGCCCUUACGACCAGGGCUACACACGUGCUACAAUGGCGCAUACAAAGAGAAGCGACCUCGCGAGAGCAAGCGGACCUCAUAAAGUGCGUCGUAGUCCGGAUUGGAGUCUGCAACUCGACUCCAUGAAGUCGGAAUCGCUAGUAAUCGUGGAUCAGAAUGCCACGGUGAAUACGUUCCCGGGCCUUGUACACACCGCCCGUCACACCAUGGGAGUGGGUUGCAAAAGAAGUAGGUAGCUUAACCUUCGGGAGGGCGCUUACCACUUUGUGAUUCAUGACUGGGGUGAAGUCGUAACAAGGUAACCGUAGGGGAACCUGCGGUUGGAUCACCUCCUUACCUUAAAGAAGC